GCCGCGAUCGCAUAACCUGGUAAACUCUUUGAAAAAAUUCAGGAGAUUGCACAGGCCUGGAAAGCCUGGCCUGCAAAGGCAUCCCGGUUCAAAUCCGGGUCGCGGCG
rnacentral:tRNA from 1 species